rnacentral:rRNA from 1 species
CCCCUAGAUGUUCUGGGCCGCACGCGCGCUACACUGAACAGUUCAACAAGUCUUAACCUUGGCCGAUAGGUCUGGGUAAUCUUUGAACGCUGUUCGUGAUUGGGAUAGACCUUUGCAAUUAUGGGUCUUCAACGAGGAAUUCCUAGUAAACGCAAGUCAUCAGCUUGCAUUGAUUACGUCCCUGCCCUUUGUACACACCGCCCGUCGCACCUUCCGAUUGAAUGGUCCGGUGAAAUCUCGGGACGGCGGCUUGGUCGCUUGCGUCCGACUGCUGAAACUUGAUUAAACCAUAUCAUUUAGAGGAAGGUGAAGUCGUAACA